GAGUUUGAUCCUGGCUCAGGAUGAACGCUAGCUACAGGCUUAACACAUGCAAGUCGAGGGGCAGCAUGGUCUUAGCUUGCUAAGGCUGAUGGCGACCGGCGCACGGGUGAGUAACACGUAUCCAACCUGCCGUCUACUCUUGGACAGCCUUCUGAAAGGAAGAUUAAUACAAGAUGGCAUCAUGAGUCCGCAUGUUCACAUGAUUAAAGGUAUUCCGGUAGACGAUGGGGAUGCGUUCCAUUAGAUAGUAGGCGGGGUAACGGCCCACCCAGUCUUCGAUGGAUAGGGGUUCUGAGAGGAAGGUCCCCCACAUUGGAACUGAGACACGGUCCAAACUCCUACGGGAGGCAGCAGUGAGGAAUAUUGGUCAAUGGGCGAGAGCCUGAACCAGCCGAGUAGCGUGAAGGAUGACUGCCCUAUGGGUUGUAAACUUCUUUUAUAAAGGAAUAAAGUCGGGUAUGCAUACCCGUUUGCGUGUACUUUAUGAAUAAGGAUCGGCUAACUC
rnacentral:rRNA from 1 species